AUUCGCUGAUUUUGGCGAUCGCUGCCAAUCGUAUCGCCGCGCUCGAAUUUCACCGAAAGUCGGACCAAGUCGUUUGCAACACACUCACAAGUGAACAGUUGACAUUCACGCCUGCUUUUGCUUUCGCUUCACAGAAAAUCGGUCAGGGAUGUUGUGUCAUUUUUUAAAAAUUAGAAUUUUAACGUUAAUUUGAAUUUAAGGUUAACAUUCCCGGCUGGUUGGAAACUGAUCUGAUGAACUGCAACUAUGACAUCGACGCGUAUCGCUCAUCCAGACUUGGCAAUGAAAUGUACGCAGCCAAGGGGACACUCCUCUUCAGUGGUUCACUGAAGCUGCAUACUUGGAAACUGGACACGCAAUGGCUUGGCUUCGAAUUGGCGUCGCAAAAAGGCUUGUUUUCAACAGCUACACUCAUAUUACCCUGCUGAAAAGAUCUAUCGCAGUGAUCAUCAGCGUGAAUGGCUCCGCCAGAAGCGUAGUUACUAGCAGCAGACAACUCAGGAUUGGAAAGGUCAUGACUGUUGCAUAUG